CUAGAUGAGCUGACAGACCCUGGCUGAGCAGGAAGUGGCAGGGUCAGGAAAAGCUAGGCCACAAGUUUUCCCUUGAGAGCCUUAGAGUCUAGCCCUGUCGCCCAGGCUGGAGUGCCAUGGUUUGAACUCUACUCACCGCAACCUCCACCUCCCAGGUUCAAAUGAUUCUCCUGCCUCAGCCUCCUGAAUAUCUGGGAUUACAGAUUCUAACUCAAAUAGCUCAAAGGACACCUUCUCCGGGAAACCUUCCCUGACUUCCGACGCUGUUUCCUGUUACCCAUGAUGUACAUUAGAACACAGCAACUAUUUGAGUGAAAUAAGUAUUUUUAUUUAUUUCAAGAGGAAAGCAAAGUCGAAGGGUGUUCAGGGCUACAGUUUUGCUUGACCAGAUGUUGCCAAGUUUCAAAGUCAAAUCGGUUCAUCUCCUGGCUAUCAGCUAAAGGGUGUUGUAUUUGUAAGCAUUGAGAACUUCUAUCUACUGCUAUUGUAUUUUGCAUAUUUGUAUUUUCUGAGUUCUAUUUGAGAGAGACGGAAUUACGCAUUUCCAUAUGGAUCAUCCUCUUCCCUAUGUAUGUUGCUUUAUUGCCUUUUGGAAGAAAAAAAGUGAGAGUUGCAGUCUGUAUUUAGGCCAUUUCUAUGUUCUUUAUUGGGUUACGUUUGAAUGCCCAAUUUGAUCUCAAUGGCACGUCCUUUGUAACAUAAAAUAAAACAUGGUGCUCAGGAAAAGUAACGACACACACAUCCAGGCCCUUUCAUAGCAGUUGGUAAAGCUUAAGCCUUGCCUCUCUGUGUGGUAGUUUCCCUUCCCUUUCUUUUCGUUCCCUGUGACAAGCAGCCAUUGUCCCCUUGGUGAGAUCUGCAAUAUUACUUUGACCCCAGCCCAUCAAUCUGCCUCAAUUGGAUAAUGAUCUGUAAUCACGUUCUUUCAGGGGAGUCUAUAAAUUUGCCAAGGCCCCAUUCUCUUCUGAAGGACUCCUUAUGUUCACUCCCAUUUGUGCAAAUGUGCUCUCUUUUACAGGGCUAAAUAGCCAUGCACAUGGUCCAUUCUGUGAGGAGGCACCGGGCGGUUCUCUGUUGAUUUUCCACGCUCUAGUCUCUUAAAGGAGACUAAGGCUGACAUGCAGGGACACAGUGGGGGGGUGGCCCGAGCCAGGCCACAUCACAGGCAGCCGCUUUUCUCAUUAAGACUGACCCAUCAUUAGGUCACUUUGUGCCAUCCUUGUAAUCAAUGAGCUUAAUGUUUAGUGCAAAAAAAAAAAAAGUUAUUUAAGGAAAGGAGCUGGGAGCUGGAAGAGGAAAAGAGGAAAGAAAAAUGGUAGGAAGCAUGGAGAAAUUCACCACUUCUAAAUCUUAGGGUUGGUUAUACUUUGCCCAAAGGGUAGGAUGAACUCAAAUAUGCUACAUGUGAUUCCUCAAACAACCGCUUCCAGUCCUGUUUGUUUUCUGUAAAACGUAAAUAUUCUUAGACGCAACAUUUCCCCCAGGGGCCCCGCACUUCUCAUGAAGUCAGAUGAAGUGCUCUGUCUAUAACCGAGGCUGAAUCUGCAUUUGCUGGGAACCCUGUAGUGGUGAAGAGAGAGGUGGUCAAAGUCCGUGAGCAAUUGGGGUGGUUUUGGAGGGGUAAUUGGAUUUUGUUUAUUGUUGGAUCCCAAAGAGUUUCAUGACCACAGCCAAAUACAGCAAAUAAAAAAGAAAAAAUAUAUUAAAUUAAAAA
rnacentral:lncRNA from 1 species